rnacentral:rRNA from 1 species
GUGGGGAAUAUUGGACAAUGGGCGAAAGCCUGAUCCAGCCAUGCCGCGUGUGUGAAGAAGGUCUUCGGAUUGUAAAGCACUUUAAGUUGGGAGGAAGGGCAGUAAGUUAAUACCUUGCUGUUUUGACGUUACCGACAGAAUAAGCACCGGCUAACUUCGUGCCAGCAGCCGCGGUAAUACGAAGGGUGCAAGCGUUAAUCGGAAUUACUGGGCGUAAAGCGCGCGUAGGUGGUUCAGCAAGUUGGAGGUGAAAUCCCCGGGCUCAACCUGGGAACUGCCUCCAAAACUACUGGGCUAGAGUACGGUGGAGGGUAGUGGAAUUUCCUGUGUAGCGGUGAAAUGCGUAGAUAUAGGAAGGAACACCAGUGGCGAAGGCGACUACCUGGACUGAUACUGACACUGAGGUGCGAAAGCGUGGGGAGCAAACAGGAUUAGAUACCCCAGUAGUCC